AAGCAGGGGAUCGUAAGGCCUUGCGCUUUUGGAGCGGCCGAUGCCUGAUUAGCUAGUUGGUGGGGUAAAGGCCUACCAAGGCGACGAUCAGUAGUUGGUCUGAGAGGACGACCAGCCACACUGGGACUGAGGCACGGCCCAGACUCCUACGGGAGGCAGCAGUGGGGAAUUUUGGACAAUGGGCGCAAGCCUGAUCCAGCAAUGCCGCGUGAGUGAAGAAGGCCUUCGGGUUGUAAAGCUCUUUCAGUCGAGAAGAAAAGGUUGUGAUGAAUAAUCACAACUCAUGACGGUAUCGACAGAAGAAGCACCGGCUAACUACGUGCCAGCAGCCGCGGUAAUACGUAGGGUGCAAGCGUUAAUCGGAAUUACUGGGCGUAAAGGGUGCGCAGGCGGCUUUGUAAGUCAGAUGUGAAAUCCCCGGGCUUAACCUGGGAAUUGCGUUUGAAACUACAAAGCUAGA
rnacentral:rRNA from 1 species